rnacentral:lncRNA from 10 species
GCCACAUUUCACAGUUUUCAACUUAUUGAAAGCUGCUGUGGAUUAUCUACAUCCAGAUUUAUGCAAAUCUGAAGCAGAUACAGAUGCUUAUACACACAUGAGAGUAUCUCCUGCCCCCAGUGGCUCCACCACCAGUGCCUGAAUACUCAACAUCUGAGUGCUAAUUAAUGUGCCAGGCACCGUUUUAAGCAGUUGUGGUGUAAAAAGGAAAUAUCCCUGCUUGUGGACGAUACAUUCUAGUGGAGGAGUCAGAUACAUAAAAUGUCAGUUGAAUCUGAAGAUGAGGACCUCAAGAAUACAGAG